CGGAGGGUGCGAGCGUUGUCCGGAAUCACUGGGCGUAAAGGGCGCGUAGGUGGCCUGUGGAAGUCUGCGGUGAAAGCCCGGCGCUCAACGCCGGGUCGGCCGUGGAUACUCUCGGGCUUGAGCUUACUAGAGGCAGAUGGAAUUCCGGGUGUAGCGGUGGAAUGCGUAGAGAUCCGGAAGAACACCGGUGGCGAAGGCGGUCUGCUGGGGUAAUGCUGACACUGAUGCGCGACAGCGUGGGGAGCAAACAGGAUUAGAUACCCUGGUAGUCCACGCCGUAAACGAUGGGCACUAGAUGCUUGGGGGAGCGACCCCCUGAGUGUCGUCGCUAACGCAUUAAGUGCCCCGCCUGGGGAGUACGGCCGCAAGGCUG
rnacentral:rRNA from 1 species